CCUACGGGAGGCUGCAGUGGGGAAUAUUGGACAAUGGGGGCAACCCUGAUCCAGCCAUGCCGCGUGUGUGAAGAAGGCCCUCGGGUUGUAAAGCACUUUCAGUGAGGAAGAACGCCUGGUGGUUAAUACCCAUCAGGAAAGACAUCACUCACAGAAGAAGCACCGGCUAACUCCGUGCCAGCAGCCGCGGUAAUACGGAGGGUGCGAGCGUUAAUCGGAAUUACUGGGCGUAAAGCGCGCGUAGGUGGCUGGAUAAGCCGGUUGUGAAAGCCCCGGGCUCAACCUGGGAACGGCAUCCGGAACUGUCAAGCUAGAGUGCAGGAGAGGAAGGUAGAAUUCCCGGUGUAGCGGUGAAAUGCGUAGAGAUCGGGAGGAAUACCAGUGGCGAAGGCGGCCUUCUGGACUGACACUGACACUGAGGUGCGAAAGCGUGGGUAGCAAACAGGAUUAGAUACCCCGGUAGUC
rnacentral:rRNA from 1 species